rnacentral:rRNA from 1 species
UACGUAGGGUGCGAGCGUUAAUCGGAAUUACUGGGCGUAAAGGGCUCGUAGGCGGCCAACUAAGUCGGAUGUGAAAUCCCCAGGCUUAACCUGGGAACUGCAUCCGAUACUGGAUGGCUUGAAUCCGGGAGAGGGAUGCAGAAUUCCAGGUGUAGCGGUGAAAUGCGUAGAUAUCUGGAGGAAUACCGGUGGCGAAGGCGGCAUCCUGGACCGGCAUUGACGCUGAGUGAGCGAAAGCCAGGGGAGCAAACAGG